CCCCCGCCCAUCACCACCGCCACUACGGGAGCGCGGGACGUGGGUCUGCAGUGCUGGAGGUUGUUCUACAGUCACUGUUCACAGGAUUGAAGUCGAGGUUUGGGCAGAGCCAGAUCUGGUUGAAUCCAUGGACAGCCACCAAUAAUUUUUGGAGCUUGUAUGUUGUCAGCAGCGUGCUCUAGAGUCUUGCCAAGAUUGUGGAUGUAUUUGCAGCCUCUACUUUUUCCCACUUUUUGAAAACUGGAACAGAAGGUGAUCCCACUGAAGUCAUCUGGCUUCCAUUGUCAACUUGUGUCCAAUAAACCCAGAUACACAUUCCCAGACCCUUUUCCUCUAUCCUCCAGGCCCAUUGAUCCACCUGCCUGCUGGACAUCUCAGCUUAGUUUCCUCACUGAUCCCCUUAAACCUCUAAUUCAAGUGCCCAAAGCUAAACUUAUGACUGUUCCAUCCAUGACCUCUCCCAAGAAGUGGCUUAGUUAUACAGCCAGUUGCUGUGGCAGAAACCCAGUGGUUUUCCAUAAACUUCCCAUAUUCAAUCAAUCACAAAAACUUUCAUGAAGUUCCUUCCAGUUAUUCCAUGAUCAUGAUAAGCCUCUCUGUCUCUUCUCAAGCUGGGAUGUUUGGGCAUCUCAUGCCCAGAUCCUGGAAAUUGAGUGUCACAAGACCCAAGCCUUGCUGACCAGGACCUUCCUGCGAUUUGCUGAACCAUUGGAAAGCUUCUUAGGUGACAAACCUGAAGCACAAGUGAAAGCAGUAUCAACCUUUCUUCUUGAAGGACAACAGGCCAACCAUGAAAGUCUUGGGCCCUCUCUUCCUUAGGAUUUAUUGCCCUUCUGAUCUUUAACACCAGUUGAUACCGAGGAGAAAUCUGAAGUCAAGUUGAUCUUUUGUUUUUCUUCCCUUGGGAGAAACUUGAAUUUUCCAGUUAGAAUGAUCAUGAGCUCCUGUGUUCUGCAAACAUAGAACUGAAGAAGUGUGACAAACCCAGAUAUCCAUAGCUAAGGUAUCAAACUGAAGACAAUAGAUGCAGUGAAUCUACAUAAAACCCAGAAUACUGAGCUGCAACUUGGGUUAGGAGUAGGGGACAGUGGAGAAUACUUGGAAAUUUCAGUUCAAUAAAGAGAUGAAAGUUAUAUAAGUACACGAAAAUAUCAAAGCAUUUUCUUAGUUUAUUUCACAAUAAAGGAUGCAUUUACUGUUU